UACAGAGGUCCCAAGCGUUGUUCGGAUUCACUGGGCGUAAAGGGUGCGUAGGCGGCCGGGUAAGUCUGAUGUGAAAUCUCCGAGCUCAACUCGGAAAUGGCAUUGGAUACUAUUCGGCUAGAGGAGUGGAGGGGGGACUGGAAUACUUGGUGUAGCAGUGAAAUGCGUAGAUAUCAAGUGGAACACCAGUGGCGAAGGCGAGUCCCUGGACAUUUCCUGACGCUGAGGCACGAAAGCUAGGGGAGCAAACAGG
rnacentral:rRNA from 1 species